UACGGGGGGGGCAAGCGUUGUUCGGAAUUACUGGGCGUAAAGGGCUCGUAGGCGGCCAACUAAGUCAUACGUGAAAUCCCUCGGCUUAACCGGGGAACUGCGUCUGAUACUGGAUGGCUUGAGUUCGGGAGAGGGAUGCGGAAUUCCAGGUGUAGCGGUGAAAUGCGUAGAUAUCUGGAGGAACACCGGUGGCGAAGGCGGCCUGCUGGGCAGUAGCUGACACUGAGGCGCGAAAGCGUGGGGAGCAAACAGG
rnacentral:rRNA from 1 species